rnacentral:tRNA from 1 species
GGCGUUGUUGUUUAGUCUGGUAAAACCCGAGUCUCAUGAGCUCGUGAUCGGGGGUUCAAAUCCCCUCAACGCCA